CACGCACGGAAGGAAAAUCUUCUCUGCGUUCCUAUCCUCCACUCUGAUAUUUCAUCGCUCUGAUUUUUGUUGAAGUUGCUGGCCGCUCAACCUCAUCUAGCGCGCAAGAUCUCCUGGAGAUUUUUCCACCGCUUGCACGUCCAGCUCUUCUUCAAAUAUCCCAUACGUACAUCUUCCUUCCCUCGCCUUAUCUCUCCACCGCUUUCUCUCUUCCAUCUGAUAUGCCGCGUCGCUGUAUUCUGGAAAGCAAAAGAAAAUCCCGCCGCUGUUCUUCUGUUGAAAUUUCUGCCGUCUCUUCUUAUCUGCUGCUGGGAUUUUUACCGUCGUCAUUCUCCCAGCUGAGCUCUCUCUCUCUGCUCUUGCUCGCAUCCAGCCAUGGCGCCCCUGUUCUUCUCUUUUCCAGUCUGGCCAGCCGAGCGCUCCUUCUCCCAGCCAUGGAGCUCCCGGCCGUGCAGCUCGCCCAAUCCCCAACCCGACCGGAGCUCCCUUCAACUCGAUUUCCCAUCUCCCUGUAUCUCCCAUGGGAGAGCGUGUUAGAUCUUUUAUGGGCUUGACCCAUUUAUUGAAUAAACUCUAUGGUGUGUAAUGGUGGAGAAUACUAAUAGUACCACAUUGGAAGUCCAAGGGUCUUUUGCCUUGACUUAUAUGGUGGGAUUUAUUCCACUUAACUUGAGAAGUCAAGAAAUGGACAAGGGCGUGCCACACGCGCGCGCGCGCCGCCGCCGCCGGCCGGGCCGGGCGAGACGUGGCGAGACGUGGCGUGGCAGGCAGGCACAAUCCAGCCGCCGAGUGAGGGUAUUUCCAUCUCGUGACUCUGCGCGCACAGAGUAGCGAGAGGGCAGGUGCCUCCGAAGCCGGUGCCGUUCGAGACCUUGCACGGGGGAUCGGCAAUUAGGUUUUUGGGGAGCGUCUACGCGACUGCCCAAAACAUCUUCAACAUGACAAAGGAAGCUGGCCAAGGAUCUGGAUCAUCAGAGCGCAUAGGAGGGUAUGAUCAGUUUAUUUACUUACUGUUUUGUGUUCUGGAGAUUAUAUAUGUUUCAUAUUUUCAUCUAUGCUGUUUCAUAGUUACGAAUGAUUUUAUCUUAUCUGUUCUGUCUUAUUAUAAUAUGAUAGAUCUGUCUGUUUUAAUUUUUCAGUCAUGCUAUUUAAGUUUCUAUCUGUUUACUUUCAUUUGUUUAGUCAGUAUACAUGUUUAUCGUAUUUAUAUGAUUUAUAUAAUUCACAUGCUCUAUGUUCUCUUGAUUCAUACUGGUAUGGAUCAAUUUGAGAUCACAAUUUCUAUGGUUAAUUAUUUGUUAUAUGUCAUCAUCAUAAUGUUGAUUUAUGGAAUUAAAAUAAUACGGAAAAUGCCUAUAUUUCUAACAAUCCAAAAACCUAAAGUUAGGCAUUUUUCUGUCAGAGGUUUUGCUGCUGUGCUAAAGCCUGAUCCUUUUGAUGAUAAAAACUUCUUGAUAUGGAAAGCUAAAAUGGAAUUGUGGCUAACUGCAAUGUCUUGUUUUCAUGCCGCUGAGGGCAAGCCUGCAAACUUACCUCCUGAGGAUGAGGCUAAGUUUAAGGCUGAAGACAACCUCUUUCGAGGAGCAGUAAUUAGCGCACUGGAUACAAAAUUCCAGAAAAGCUAUAUCAUCCUUCCCACGGGGAAAGAGCUGUGGGAUGCUCUUGUUGGAAAGUUUGGAGUUACUGACGCUGGUAGCGAGCUGUAUCUCAUGGAGCAGCUGUAUGACUACAAGAUGGUUGAGAACCGAUCUGUAGUGGAACAGGCUCAUGAGUUUCAGGCACUAGCUAAGGAACUCGAACUUUUUCCUUGUCCUUUGCCUGACAAGUUUGUGGCUGGCGGUAUAAUCGCCAAGUUGCCACCUUCUUGGAAGGACUUUGCUACCUCUCUCAAACAUAAGAGACAAGAGUUCAAUGUGGAAGAGCUCAUUGGUACUCUUGAUGUUGAGGAAAGGGCUAGAACAAAGGACAGUGGAAAAGGUGUUGAGACCUCUACUGCUAAUGUGGUGCAGAAGAGAAACUUUCGCAAGUUUAACAAGAAGAAAAACCAGAACAAAUCAGAGAAUGCGAAUAAACCUGUUCAUACAGCACAGUUUAAAAAGAAGAACAACAAUAACAAGGGAAAGGGAGGAUGCUUUGUCUGUGGCAGUGAUCAACAUUGGGCAAGAGAGUGCCCUGAUCGCAAGUUCACUCAAGACAAGAAAUCAGCUAAUGUUGUAACCACUGAAACUGAAGGAGGAACAUCUGGGUAUGGUAAUUCUUUACCAUUCGUUCUUUCAGUCUGUAAUUCACCUGAGUGGUGGAUGGACAGUGGUGCAAACAUUCAUGUGUGUGCUGAUGCCUCUAUGUUCACUUCCUAUCAGGUCGGGAGGUCUGGCGCCUUGUUGAUGGGAAAUGGGUCGCGUGCUCAUGUUCUUGGUGUUGGUACGGUCAUUCUGAAGUUUACUUCGGGAAAGACUGUGCCAUUGAAGAGCGUGCAGCAUGUGCCCUCUAUCAAGAAGAAUCUCGUUAGCGCUUCUAUGCUAUGUCGAGAUGGAUACAAAGUUGUUCUUGAGUCUAAUAAAUGUGUUGUGUCGAAACAUGGUACCUUUGUUGGUAAAGGAUAUGAUUGCGGAGGCUUGUUCCGCUUAUCACUGCAUGAUGUGUGUAAUAAACUGGUGAAUUCUGUUAAUUUUUCUGAUGAGUCAGAUUUAUGGCAUUCAUGGUUUUGUCAUGCAAGCUUUGGCUGUCUUAUGCGGUUAGCAAAUAUAAAUUUAAUUCCUAAAUUUAACUUGGUCAAAAAGUCUAAGUGCCAUGUGUGUGUUGAAUCAAAACAACCCCGCAAGCCACACAAGGCUGCUGAGGCGAGGAGUUUGGCACCUCUAGAACUUGUUCAUUCUGGUCUGUGCGAGAUGAAUGGAGUGUUGACCAAAGGUGGUAAAAGAUACUUUCUCACUUUUAUAGAUGACUCCACUAGAUUUUGUUAUGUGUAUCUCUUAAAAACAAAAGAUGAAGCGUUCAAUUAUUUUAAGGCCUAUAAAGCUGAAGUUAAGAACCAACUUGAGAGGAAAAUAAAACGUUUAAGGUCCGAUCGAGGUGGAGAAUAUUUCUCUAAUGUGUUCGAUGAGUUCUGCGUGGAACAUGGAAUUAUUCAUGAGAGGACACCGCCAUUCUCACCACAAUCCAAUGGGAUUGCUGAAAGGAAAAACCGCACUCUAACAGAUUUGGUGAAUGCCAUGUUGAGUACAGCGGGAUUAUCCAAGGCAUGGUGGGGUGAGACGAUUUUGACAGCAUGUCAUGUCCUGAAUAGAGUUCCAACAAAGAACAAAGAGAUCACUCCAUUUGAGGAAUGGGAAAAGAGAAGAGUAAAUCUCUCAUAUUUGCGCACUUGGGGUUGCUUGGCUAAAGUGAAUGUGCCAAUCAACAAAAAGCGUAAACUUGGGCCUAAAACUGUUGAUUGUGUAUUCCUUGGGUACUCUUUUCACAGCACUGGGUAUAGGUUCUUAAUUAUAAAAUCUGAUGUGCCUGAUAUGUAUGUUGAUACUAUCAUGGAAUCAAGAGACGCAUCAUUUUUUGAGAAUGAGUUUCCUAUGAAGAAUACACCUAGUGAUAUAAGUCAUGAGACUAUAAUUCCCCAUGAGCACGAACUGUCGAUUCCUAUAGAUCAUGCUGAGGAUUCUCACGUGCACAUCCCUGAGGAGGAUGACACUAUAGUCACUCGAAAGAGCAAGAGACAGAGGGUUGCAAAAUCCUUUGGUAAUGACUUUAUAGUGUACCUUGUGGAAGACACACCAACUACCAUUAGUGAGGCAUAUUCCUCUCCUGAUGCUGACUUAUGGAAGGAAGCAGUAAGGAGUGAGAUGGAAUCUAUUAUGUCUAAUGGAACUUGGGAGGUCGUGGACCGUCCUUAUGGUUGUCAACCUAUAGGUUGCAAAUGGAUCUUCAAGAAAAAGCUUAGGCCUGAUGGUACAAUUGAGAGGUACAAGGCAAGGCUUGUGGCCAAAGGAUAUACCCAAAAGGAGGGUGAAGAUUUCUUUGACACCUACUCACCAGUGGCUCGAUUGACUACAAUUCGCACAUUAAUAGCCGUGGCAGCCUCUUAUGGUCUUAUCAUUCAUCAGAUGGAUGUUAAGACAGCUUUCCUAAAUGGAGAGUUGGAUGAGGAGAUCUAUAUGGAUCAGCCAGAAGGGUUUAUUGUGGAUGGUCAAGAGAACAAGGUGUGCAGGUUGAUAAAAUCAUUGUAUGGCCUAAAACAAGCACCUAAGCAAUGGCAUGAAAAGUUUGAUAAUACUCUUACAGCAGCUGGCUUUGUUGUAAAUGAAUCUGACACGUGUGUAUACUAUCAGUAUGGUGGGGGUGAGUCUGUUAUGCUGUGCCUUUAUGUUGAUGACAUUUUGAUCUUUGGAUCAAAUCUCAAUGUGAUUGAGGAAGUUAAAAAUCUUCUAUCGAGCAAUUUCGAGAUGAAAGAUUUGGGAGAGGCUGAUGUCAUUCUAAACAUCAAGCUUGUUAGAGAAGCUGAUGGUGGGGUAACUUUGUUACAAUCCCAUUAUGUGGAAAAGGUAUUGAGUCGCUUUGGUUUUAGUGACUGUGAUCCUGCUCCAACACCUUAUGACCCCAGUGUGCUAUUAAGAAAGAAUCGGAGAAUAGCAAGGGAUCAAUUGACAUACUCCCAGAUCAUUGGCUCGCUCAUGUACCUUGCAAGUGCAACAAGGCCAGACAUCUCUUAUGCUGUGAGUAAGCUAAGUCGGUUUGUGUCGAAACCAGGAGAUGAUCACUGGCGUGCUCUUGAGAGAGUGUUGCGGUAUUUGAAAGGUACUAUGACAUACGGUAUUCAUUAUACCGGAAACCCAAAAGUGCUGGAAGGCUAUUGUGAUGCCAACUGGAUUUCUGAUGCUGAUGAGCUUUAUGCCACAAGCGGAUAUGUGUUUCUGUUUGGAGGUGGCGCUGUUUCCUGGAAGUCUUGCAAGCAGACUAUCUUAACGAAGUCUACAAUGGAAGCAGAACUCGCAGCAUUAGACACUGCUGGGGCUGAGGCCGAGUGGCUUCGUGAUUUCCUAUUGGACUUACCGGUAGUUGAAAAACCGAUACCGGCUAUUUCCAUGAACUGUGACAACCAAACGGUGAUUACAAAGGUUAACAGUUCUAGGAAUAACAUGAAGUCUACAAGGCAUGUUAAGAGGAGAUUGAAAUCUGUCAGAAAGUUGAAAAACUCCGGAGUUAUAACUGUGGAUUAUGUCCACACAUCGAAUAAUCUAGCAGAUCAAUUCACUAAGGGUCUAUCACGCAAUGUGAUAGAAAGUGCAUCGAGGGAAAUGGGUAUGAGACCCAUGUGAGAUCUACUCUAGUGGUAACCUGCUCUAUGUGAUCGGAGAUCCCGUGAAGUAGAGUGGAGAAACAAGCUAGGAGUAGAUUGUGAGGAAAGAUCCCUUCUUUAACUCAUUUCUGAUGCACAUCUUUCCUAUCUGUAAGGCAGGAUGGUUUUUACCUUAAUGUAUUCCAAGAGUCUUAUAAAGGUGAGAUGUUGUCCUACAGAACAUCUUCUGAGGAAUACACCUAUAUGAGUCAGACUGCUAGUCACAGUCUAUGGGAUUUGGGUAAUCCCUAAAUACUCAUGAAAGGCACUGAAGUGUGACUUAUAUGCUUCUAACAGCGGGAAUACCCUUCUGCAGCCUAGUAUCAGCAAAGGAUUUGAGUGAAUCUUAUUUCGCACAAAACUGUCAAUUCAAGGCAUAGUCCAUUGUUCAGUUGUGAAUAAGUGAAACUCUUAUUCUAGAUGGAUGUUCAACUUAACAGUCUCCAUCGAAACACUGGUAUAUCAAAGGAUUGUGAUUCUGAUACUUCAUCAUUACAAACCCUAGAGUUUGGUGGGGAUUGUUGGAUCUUUUAUGGGCUUGGCCCAUUUAUUGAAUAAACUCUAUGGUGUGUAAUGGUGGAGAAUACUAAUAGUACCACAUUGGAAGUCCAAGGGUCUUUUGCCUUGACUUAUAUGGUGGGAUUUAUUCCACUUAACUUGAGAAGUCAAGAAAUGGACAAGGGCGUGCCACACGCGCGCGCGCGCCGCCACCGCCGCCGGCCGGGCCAGGCGUGGCGUGGCGAGACGUGGCGUGGCGUGGCGAGGCAGGCAGGCAGGCGAGCGGGCGUGGUGUGGUUGUGUUAAUUUUUUAGCACUCACUAACCGCGUAUGUCAGCCGAGUGACCCUGUCUCUUCGUCUGCCGAGUGACCCUGUCUCUUCGUCAGCCAGCCGAGUGACCCUUCUCCUUCAGCUGCCGACUUAUGGCGUGACUCGGCGAGAGCUGGCCGACUCAUGGCAUAACUCGGCUAGAGCUGGCCGACUCUUGGCGUGACUCGGCGACCUUUCUCCUUCAGCUUCCCUCUGCGAGAGGUUAAAUAGAUGAGCACCCAUGUCACUCGGUACACGCGAGAAACACUUUCAGUCUCACAAUCCAGCCGCCGAGUGAGGGUAUUUCCAUCUCGUGACUCUGCGCGCACAGAGUAGCGAGAGGGCAGGUGCCUCCGAAGCCGGUGCCGUUCGAGACCUUGCACGGGGGAUCGGCAAUUAGGUUUUUGGGGAGCGUCUACGCGACUGCCCAAAACAUCUUCAACAUGACAAAGGAAGCUGGCCAAGGAUCUGGAUCAUCAGAGCGCAUAGGAGGGUAUGAUCAGUUUAUUUACUUACUGUUUUGUGUUCUGG
rnacentral:lncRNA from 1 species